UGCAGUUUGAAGAAGACGGGGAAAGGGAGAGAACGCCACUGGAAGAACAUUAAUAUAGUGUUCAGGACUAUUUGUGAGGCUUUUGCAGGUUAUACUUUGAAUGGAUAAGAGUUGGAUAAACAUAUUGAAUAUGCUCGAUCCUUUGUAUGAGAAUGGAGCCAAAAAAUUUCUUCAUUUUGUGUCAUUAGAUAGGCCUGAUGCCUCUGAAAUCUUGUGUCCAUGCCGAAAGUAUCGUAAUAUGAAAUGUGUUCAAAAAGAUUUGAUUGUUGAACAUAUUGUGGUUGAUGGAUUUCUUACUAGUUACACUAGAUGGUUUUUUCACGGUGAGAAAUUAUCUUCAUCAGUAUCUAUCGAUCCGUUAGAUAAAGGUGAUGAAAUGCAAGAAAUGUUACAUGAAGCAUUUGGUAUUCCGCCUACAUCUGGCUUUGUUGAUAUGAACACUAGUGGUGAUUGAUUUGGUGGGUCAAAUCAACAUAACAGGGGGGUUGAUAAGAAGACUGAAGAAUUUUUUAGCUUAUCGAAAGAAGCUGAACGUGAGUUAUAUCCUGGAAGCAAGUAUUCACUCCUUUCCUUCCUUGUUUGUCUAUUACAUGUAAAGUGUCUCAAUGGGUGGAGUAACAAUUCAUUUUCCAUGCAGCUAGAGUUGCUAAAAGAUGUGCUUUCUGAAGGUGAAACACUACCCAAGUCCUUUAAUGAUGCAAAGAAAAUUAUUAAAGACCUAGGACUUGAUUACAAAAAAAAUACAUGCAUGUCCAAAUGAUUGUAUUAUUUAUUGGAAUGAGACAGAAGAUAGAACGAAUUGUAUGUAUUGCAAAGCUCCAAGAUACAAACAAUUCAAAGGUGCAUCAAUUAAUUGUAGUUCAGAAACCUAAAAAAUUCCAGCAAAGGUGUUUAGAUAUUUUCCAUUGAUACCACGACUUCAAAGAUUAUAUAUGUCGGGUAAAACAUCUACUCAAAUGAGAUGGCAUGUUGAAGGUCGCACUAGAGACGGGGUAAUGCGACAUCCUGCUGAUAGUAUUGCUUGGAGGAAAUUUGAUGAAGCACAUGCAGAUUUUGCUCAAGAUCCUCGGAAUGUUAGACUUGGAUUAGCUUCAGAUGGCUUUAGUCCAUUCAAGUCUAUGUCUAUCUCACAUAGCACAUGGCUAGUCGUCUUGGUUCCAUAUAACUUGCCACCAUGGUUGUGCAUGAAACAACCAUAUAUGGAAUUAUCAAUGAUUAUUGAUGGCCCUCAUGCACCAGGCAAUGAUAUUGAUGUUUAUCUACAACCUUUAGUUGAUGAGUUAAAAGAGUUGUGGGUUGGUGUUUCCACUUAUGAUGCAUCCGAUAAUCAUAUGUUUCAAAUGCGCGCAUCAUUGCUUUGGACAAUCAGUGAUUUUCCAGCGCUAGGUAACUUAUCAGGAUAUGAUGUGAAAACUAGAUAUGCUUGUCCAUGUUGUCUUACCAACACUAAAUUUACAAGAUUGAAAAAUGGACAUAAGUAUUGUUUCAUGUCUCAUAGGCGAUGAUUACCCCAUGGGAACAAGUUUCGAAAAGAUAAAGUUACAUUCAAUGGCCUUGCGGAGUUGGAGGUAGCACCUAAACGGUUGUCAGGAAUUGAGGUUCAUGAGCAAUUGAACAAUAUAAAAAAUAAAUUUGGAAAAGAUCCAUUGGUCAAAUCACAUAAAAGGAAACGGGGUGGUGUUAAUGAUAUUGAUAAUGUGUUGCAAAAUAUAUGGAACAAAAAGAGCAUAUUUUUUGAGUUGGAAUACUGGAAAGACAAUGUGAUUCGUCAUAAUCUUGACACGAUGCAUAUUGAAAAGAAUGUCUUUGACAACAUAUUUUGGACAUUAUUGAAUGUUGAUGGCAAAGGAAAUAUCAGCUACACUCUCUGUCUCGGCCUAAUCCAAUUCAUUCCUAAAGUCCCUUUAUAGAUCCACUGCAACCCAAGCCCAUUCCCAAAUUCCCUUUACACUUUAGUUCUCUUUCCUAUUUGAGAUGGUUAUAGCAGCUUGCAGGAUGGUUAUAGCAGCUUCUUUCCUAUUUGGUAAUCACUGUUCACUCUUUCCCAGUUCUAUUCCAGUGGUUGUUGCUUUCUUGCUGCUAGUGUACUAGUUGUUCUCAUGAGAACUUUUAUUUAAUCUUUUUUUUUAUUUUUUAUGUCAAGAUGUAAUAACAACUUAACAAGUUUAAUAUGUUGGCUCUUAAUUUUCAAUUUAAAGGGCUGCAUAUGGUGAAACAGUAAAGGUAGUCUGCUUAAAAGUUACGUUGAUGGAUGCAAUAUGGGAAGAAUUUUUGAAGGAACUCAGGUCAAUUAAUGGCAACGAAAUGCUCGACUUGUGGAUUGAUUGUUUCAUAAAGCUUUGUUGCAGAUUUUAUUCGAGAAACUAAGGAAAUUAAUUUGAAUUGGGACUUAAGCUGAUUUCAUGUUGAAAUUAUCGUAUUUAGUUAGAUUUCCGUUUUACUUGAAAUAGAACAUAUCAUUUGAUUUGACAUCGUUUAGUUUUACAUAACAUUUGUUAUAUUGCUACUUUGUUCUUUGGUUAUAACAUUAAAACACAUUUGCUUUACAUAUCUUUCAUGUUUGUUACAAAAGGUUGACAUU